rnacentral:rRNA from 1 species
UACAGAGGUCUCAAGCGUUGUUCGGAGUUACUGGGCGUAAAGAGUGCGUAGGCGGUUUCGUAAGUCUGGUGUGAAAUCUCCCGGCUCAACUGGGAGGGUGCGCCGGAAACUGCGGGGCUGGAGUGUGGGAGGGGCAAGCGGAAUUCCUGGUGUAGCGGUGAAAUGCGUAGAUAUCAGGAGGAACACCUGCGGUGUAGACGGCUUGCUGGACCACAACUGACGCUGAGGCACGAAAGCGUGGGGAGCAAACAGG